rnacentral:rRNA from 1 species
GACGAACGCUGGCGGCGUGCUUAACACAUGCAAGUCGAACGGAAAGGCCCUGCUUGCAGGGUACUCGAGUGGCGAACGGGUGAGUAACACGUGGGUGAUCUGCCCUGCACUUCGGGAUAAGCCUGGGAAACUGGGUCUAAUACCGGAUAGGAGCCAUUUUUAGUGUGAUGGUUGGAAAGUUUUUUCGGUGUAGGAUGAGCUCGCGGCCUAUCAGCUUGUUGGUGGGGUAAUGGCCUACCAAGGCGGCGACGGGUAGCCGGCCUGAGAGGGUGGACGGCCACGUUGGGACUGAGAUACGGCCCAGACUCCUACGGGAGGCAGCAGUGGGGAAUAUUGCACAAUGGGCGCAAGCCUGAUGCAGCGACGCCGCGUGGGGGAUGACGGCCUUCGGGUUGUAAACUCCUUUCGCUAGGGACGAAGCUUUUUGUGACGGUAUCUAGAUAAGAAGCACCGGCUAACUACGUG